GGAAUAUUGCGCAAUGGGCGAAAGCCUGACGCAGCGACGCCGCGUGAGGGAUGAAGGUCUUCGGAUUGUAAACCUCUUUCAGCAGGGACGAAGCGAAAGUGACGGUACCUGAAGAAGAAGCACCGGCUAACUACGUGCCAGCAGCCGCGGUAAUACGUAGGGUGCAAGCGUUGUCCGGAUUUAUUGGGCGUAAAGAGCUCGUAGGCGGUUAGACACGUCGGAUGUGAAAACUGGGGGCUCAACCCCCAGCCUGCAUUCGAUACGGUCUGACUAGAGUGUGGUAGGGGUAACUGGAAUUCCUGGUGUAGCGGUGAAAUGCGCAGAUAUCAGGAGGAACACCGAUGGCGAAGGCAGGUUACUGGGCCACCACUGACGCUGAGGAGCGAAAGCGUAGGGAGCAAACAGGAUUAGAUACCCUGGUAGUCCACGCCGUAAACGGUGGGCGCUAGAUGUGGGGACCAUUCCAUGGUUUCUGCGUCGCAGCUAACGCAUUAAGCGCCCCGCCUGGGGAGUACGGUCGCAAGACUAAAACUCAAAGGAAUUGACGG
rnacentral:rRNA from 1 species